CUGAAACAUCUGUGCUUAUUUGAGAGCUGGGAAACUCGCUACUUAAAUCUUUAAUCUAGGAUGUCUUAAAAUUAUAGUUCAUGUGGACUUAGUGAGGUCCUCAUAAUCUCUGAAACUGUGUAGGAGAUGGAACUUAGAAAGGAGAGACAGAUUGAGGUGAGCCACACAUAGAGCAACAGAGAGAGAUGGUGAUCCCAAGACAGGAUGCUGGAAUGAAGAGAGCCAGAGAGUAGCAGACAGGCAUGAGCAUGUGUGGGAGGGUCCAUGCCACAUUGGGGUCUCAAAGUGUCCAUACCUCGAACAGGUGAAGAGCCAGGACCCAGAGCCUUGGAGCCCAGGCCCACAGGAGACUGCAGCCACCCAGGGAGCCAGGGCUCGGGUGUCCCAGGAAUAGCCAGGGUCAAGCUCUGCCUCCCAUCCUCAGGCUCAGCCUUCACCUUGAUCGGAUUUCCUGGUCUCCUUCAUUCCCACAUCAUCCACUCUGCUGAAUUCCUUCCAUAGAUGAUCACUUCUCCCCAGGACACCGCCCCAGCAGCAAGUAACAGCCUGCCUGGCAGCGAGCCUUGCACGGGCCCAUCCCCACCCGCUCACAGGCACACACUGGCUUGUUCAGGAGGCUAUCAGACAAACAAAUUAAGACAGACAUGUGAAUACUGCCAUGCAAUACAGAGCAAUGGAUGGGAGGAAAGUCCAUAUUUUGUCGUCUUAUCUCCAGGAAGAAAUGAAGGCGGGAAGAGUAAGAAUGAUGCCCUGUUCCUUAACAAAACACUUUGUGCAUUCUUUAUUGUGUCAUAGCUGUGCAAGGAAACAAAGCUAUUGCAUUUUAUUUGGGCUGGAAAUGUAAAAUCUUUAAAAUAUAACUUUUAGAAGGAAGGCAGUUGCUCUUUUUCCUCGUGUCUUAUCAUGAGAGUCAUUUGAUCCAAGAUACUGCUCCUUAACUUACGCUUUUUAUUUGGAAGAAACACUAACGAUACUUCUUAGGGAUAUUGUACAGAGAAAGUAGGUUGCACAUUUAACCUUAGGAACAGAAACUGCUGUUGCUUAAGUACCGCUCACCCUUUCACCACCUGAGAUGAAGAAUGACUCAACCAUAUGAUGAAACAGAGAAAGCCAUGUUUCUAAUGAGGCCAGAGCCUGAAGGCAGAAACCCUUCAAGAGCUGAAUUUCCCAUUUUGUUGCCAACAACAAAUAAACUCAGUGUUCCUUCAAUGACGAUUAAUCCGGCAAAAACCAUGCAGAAAUGAAGGAGCUUUAAAAUGAUCAUCAUUCAUCAACCCAACCAUCUCCCUUGGAUACCCACUUCAUUACUAAGAGAGUAAUUAUUUUUGUGUUGUCAGUUUUAGGGAAAAGCCCUUGAGGAUUAUUCAUUGGUAAUUGGAAAAAUAAAUGUUAAUGUCUUCUGUGGAUUAGGAAAGAAUGUUUUAUGACUAACUGUUUAGACGCUUCUGUUGCAUUGCCUGAGUUUGGAAGCUUCAUUGGUUUUCCAGCCAAGGCUUCAUAAAAGCUUUCAAAUUACCUGUAGCUGUCAGAGAGGAGUCUCCUCAAGGAGAUGGAUGAAGCUUGCCCACGAUG
rnacentral:lncRNA from 1 species